rnacentral:lncRNA from 1 species
ACGCACUAACUUGCACAGCAUUGAAUGGAAAAGGCUUUGUCCAUGUCCAGUUGAGGGCAUCAAGAACACGCAGAUGGCCUAAACCUGUGUCAGCCUGGACAGACUGCCGUUCUGCUACUCCACACCAAGGCUUUUGUAUAGAUGUCUUGACUGCUACUGUGUUCUCUAAAGGUAUUACUGGAGCAAAACAACAGCACCUGUUACAGUGAAAUUUGUAUUCAAAAAAAUAGUGAUACAUGUGUAGCAGGUCCAGUACAUUUGUCAUAAAGGUUAAAUCACAGUAAGUACUGUAAAAAUAACUUGUUUGCCUUUGCCACAACAGGUCAUGGUGUGUACUUACUGCUCGUAAUAAACACACACGCUGAUCUGAUGCGGGAGAGAUAUAUGCAAACACAUUAGUAUUUACUG